GACAGAGGUGCCAAGCGUUAGGCGGAAUCACUGGGCUUAAAGCGUGUGUAGGCGGACUCGUAAGUACCUUGUGAAAUCCCACGGCUCACCGUGGAACUGCUUGGUAUACUGCUUGUCUUGAGCCACUUAGGGGCUGUCGGAACAAACGGUGGAGCGGUGAAAUGCGUAGAUAUCAGGAGGAACACCCGUGGCGAAGGCGGCCCUCUGGCUCGACCCUGACGCUGAGGCGCGAAAGCGUGGGGAGCGAACGGG
rnacentral:rRNA from 1 species